rnacentral:lncRNA from 1 species
AAGCUGUGGCAGCCUUCUGUGGAGGAGGAAUCCUCUUCAGAGGGCCGGUGCCAGAGAAAGGGAUUCAACUCGUUCUCACCACCAACAUCUCUCUUGUAGUCUGUGUCACAUAUCCUCUCCUGUACUGCCCUUACCAGUCGGCUGUUCUGGUCUCCAUAUUCACCAGAUGCUACUUCCAUAACAAAAUCUGCAGGAUUGUGAUAGGUUG